ACCGUGCAAAGGUAGCAUAAUCAUUUGCCUAUUAAUUGUAGGCUGGAAUGAAUGGACAAACGCGAACCUUACUGUCUCCUUUAGGUAAAUAAAAAUUUAUAUUUAAGUGAAGAAGCUUAAAUAAAUUCGCAGGACAAGAAGACCCUAUAGAGCUUUACCAUAAAACUUAUAGUAUAAGCUAACUGGUUCGGUUGGGGCGACCAAGGAAUACAAAACAUCCUUAACUAUUUAGACUUACCAGUCACUAUAAAAGAUCCUUUAUAAAGAUUGUAGAAUCAAGCUACCUUAGGGAUAACAGGCUAAUUCCUCUAGAGAGCCCUUAUUGACAGAGGAGG
rnacentral:rRNA from 1 species